AAAGAACAAGAGCCUGUGCCUUUUUACUGUGGUUUAGAAUCCUCCUCUUCCACGUCAUGAUUGCACUCAUUGCACAUAAAGAACCAUGGACUUCUUUCUAUCAGUGGACAACUUUAAAGUGCCUGGAUCCAGUCUUCUCUGAAACUAAUUGACCAGUUAUGGUGGUCAGUGAAUUCAUUUCUUGACUCAGCUGACCUGAGGCCUGGGAAGUGAUGCUACAUGGCAGAUAUGAUGGGGGACAGUUUAGAAUUACAGAAAAAUCAUCUUGAGUGUGGUUUCAGAGAGUCUAACAGCUUUACCAACUAGACUGCUUGAUGCUCAUG